GCCGGGUGUGGUGGCGGGCACCUGUAGUCCCAGCUACUCAGGAGGCUGAGACAGGAGAAUCACUUGAACCCGGGAGGAGGAGGUUGCAGUGAGCCAAGAUCGUGCUACUGCACUCCUGCCUGGGUGACAGAGCGAGACUCUGUCUCAA
ensembl:misc_RNA Metazoa_SRP Metazoan signal recognition particle RNA